CGGCCUACGGGAGGCAGCAGUGGGGAAUAUUGCACAAUGGGGGGAACCCUGAUGCAGCGACGCCGCGUGGGUGAAGAAGUCAUUCGUGACGUAAAGCCCUAUCAGCAGGGAAGAAAAUGACGGUACCUGACUAAGAAGCCCCGGCUAACUACGUGCCAGCAGCCGCGGUAAUACGUAUGGUGCGCGCGUUAUCCGGAUUUACUGGGUGUAAAGGGAGCGCAGGCGGCGCGUUAAGCCUGGUGUGAAAGCCCGCGGCCCAACCGCGGGACUGCAUUGGGACCU
rnacentral:rRNA from 1 species